rnacentral:rRNA from 1 species
AUGCUGAUGGAGACCGAGACCGUGGUGGAAAUAUUGCCAGAGCCGCCGCUGAUGGAGACCGAGACUGUGGUUGAAACACUGCUGGAGCUGCCGCUGGAUGUAUUGAUGGAUAUCUUUUCCCACCUGGAGCUUCCUGACCUCAUUCGUGCGAGCUCCGUGUGCUCCUUCUGGCGCUCUGCGUAUAGUAGUCUACAUAGCCAGCUUGGGCAAUAUAAACGGCCCCAGACACCUUGCCUCCUCUACGCCUCCGAAGCCGAUGGUGAGAACGUAGCUUGUCUCUACAGUCUUGCAGAAAAGAGGGUCUACAAGCUAACUCUUCCGGAUCCACCUAUCCGCAGUAGGCAUCUCAUUGGGUCCUCUAAUGGCUGGUUAGUUACUGCUGAUGAGAAGUCUGAGCUUCACCUUCUCAAUCCGAUCACUGGUCAACAGAUUGCCCUCCCCUCGGCGAUCACCAUUGAGCAAAUAGAGCCGAUCUUAGAUAGUGCCGGUGCAGUUAAUAAGAUUAAGAUGUGGGAUCUAGCGCCGAACGAUGAUCCAAAUGAGUUUUCUGACUGCCUCUACAUCAGGGCAUUUGUGUUUCCUGAUCCACCCAUGGGAAGCUACAUUGUGGUUAUCAUCCACAGUCCAGAGCAAUAUCUUUCGUUUUCAAGGGUAGGUGAUUAUAAAUGGACCUCGCUGCCGGGCGAGAACUAUGAACAAUGCAUCCACAUGGAUGGUCUAUUGUAUGCAUUCACAGAAAACGGAGGAGUUUACACUUUUGAUCUGACCGGUCCUACCUUCACAAGGAAUAUUAUUGCAGACGAGUUGCAGAAUUACAAGACGGAUGGGUACACGUACUUUGUUCAGGCUCCAUGGGGUGAUCUGUUGCAAGUUUGCAGAACAUUAGAUUUCACACCCGAAGUGUUCAUAAAGACCAAGAAAAUACUAUUUUAUAAAGUUGAUGUGGCAGCAAAAGAACUUGUGGAAAUGAAUGGCUUGCAUGAUCAUGUGCUGUUUCUUGGGCGUAGUCAGUCGCAAUGCCUUAGUACCGAGGAAUAUCCACAACUGAAGCCAAAUCGUGUUUAUUUCACGGACGACAUGACAUAUAUUUUGAAGUAUAAGAAUAAUGACCGGGAUAUAGGUAUUCUCAACUUGGAAAAUGACAAUAGGGAAGAUGUACCUAAGCUUUGGUGCAAUUGGCCAAAUCCCAUAUGGAUGACACCCAACCUCACAAGGAUUAACAUGGCUUUGGACAAAUAUUUAGUCUUUUGUGAAAUUAGUGUGCAACUGAUAAUGGUGUCCAGCCUGAAUGGGAUGUCUGUUGGAUAUUCGCUUGCCGACAAUACCAUGGAGUCCCCUACGAGGAAGGAUGUCAUAUCUGAGCAGAUAGCUGAUCUGGUUGGGGAUGCUGGGGAUUUCACCCUCUUGCCAUGCGCUGAGCCGCGGUGGGAGAAAGUGGGUGGCAGCGAGCCAGUGGAUUGGUCAUUGGAUAACUGCUUGUUGUAUUUCACAAUGAGGACAUUUGUUUGGGGGGUGUAUCCUAGAGUUAAGGAUGCUUGGAUGGAAGUGGUGGCCUCACAAAGGCACCCUAAUGUGCGUAGGCAAGAUCGAAAUGCACAAAUACCUGCUCAGGUUGUAGUGUUUUCAUUCGCUCUUGGAAGUCAUAUCACAAGCACAUCCGUAGCUAUUGGCCUUGAACAUUUCACCUUCCAGGUGAUGACCAAUCAAGAGGUUGUUGAUGAGAUCAACACCAGAGGGGCGGACAGGCAGCUGCGAAGCAUCUGA